CUCAACUUGUACGAUUCGCUCGUGUAUGUAACAAUGUUUUAGAUUUUAACGAGAGAAAUUUAUGUAUUACUGAAAAAUUAUUACACCAGGGUUUUCGAUAUCACAAACUAGUCAAAACAUUUACUAAAUUUUAUCAUCGGUAUAAGGACAUCAUUCGUAAAUAUAGCUCAACAUGCAGACUUCUUAUACGUUCGGGUAUUUCACA
rnacentral:lncRNA from 1 species